rnacentral:rRNA from 1 species
AACGUAGGUGGCGAGCGUUAUCCGGAAUUACUGGGCGUAAAGCGUGUGCAGGCGGGCCAGCAAGUGGGGUAUGAAAGCUCCCGGCUCAAUCGGGAAGGGUUAUGCCAGACUGCUAGUCUUGAGUGCGAGAGAGGAGCGUGGAAUUCCGGGUGUAGUGGUGAAAUGCGUAGAGAUCCGGAGGAACCCCAGAGGCGAAGGCGGCGCUCUGGCUCGCAACUGACGCUCAGACACGACAGCAUGGGGAGCGAACGGG